UACGUAGGUGGCAAGCGUUGUCCGGAAUUAUUGGGCGUAAAGCGCGCGCAGGUGGUUUCUUAAGUCUGAUGUGAAAGCCCACGGCUCAACCGUGGAGGGUCAUUGGAAACUGGGGAACUUGAGUGCAGAAGAGGAAAGUGGAAUUCCAAGUGUAGCGGUGAAAUGCGUAGAGAUUUGGAGGAACACCAGUGGCGAAGGCGGCAUCCUGGACCAUGACUGACGCUGAGGAGCGAAAGCCAGGGGAGCAAACGGG
rnacentral:rRNA from 1 species